rnacentral:rRNA from 1 species
AUGAUCCUUUCGAUUGCCGGAGCUGCACCAGCGGGCAAAGUCGGUGAUGCCGCAAUCCCCGGCCAACAAAAAGUUGAGACUCUAGAACUCUCCUCCCCUGAAGGUGAGGCCGCCUCCGGUGUACGACUUGUGCUGAAACCUGAGGGAGUGCAGGGCACCAGUUUACCGAGGAUGCGCAAGUCAUUGCUGUCAGGUAAGUCAUGCUCAGGGUUAUCUUUGAAAGUUGAUGGAGCUUUUGGACGUGUGAAAGUCCACUUGGGCAACGAAGCGAAGAACCAAGAGUGGUGGUCCAGUAUGUCAAAGCCAAGUACCGCACACCGGAAGGCUUUGGCUUCCCUCACCAUGCUUGUUUGUUGGGUUCUUUGGAACAAGAGAAAUGCUAGGAUGUUUAGCCUCUGA